UGGGAAAAGCCUAGGAAAAUGGAAAAAUUGGAAAAAUUGGUUUAUUUACAAUUUGUCCAAAUUAGGGAGCCCAGCUCCUCCCACCCACCUCCACCCCAUCCCCCAACGCACAGACCCGCUCCACGUUAUAGAAGGGGUAAAACGAAAGCCAGGAAAGAGAUUCCCAGCCUCAAGGAAGCAACAUUAGGAGGUGCACAACUUCCCUAAACUUCAGACGCAUGCAACUAUUUCACCUUCUAACGUAGCCCACCAAUCGGGUUUCCUGCACCUCCUAGAUGGACCAUCUCCAGCAUGCUCCAAAACCACAUGAAAACCCCCAACUCCUGACAAUGUGACUCUCUGGAGGGCUUGUACCCUAUUUCCUCUGAGUGUGUACUUCUUUGGCUCUGCCUAAUAAAGCCUUCUAAGGACUCUCA